rnacentral:tRNA from 1 species
AAAAAUGAAGCAAACAUUGCAAUCAGUUUCGACCUGACAUUUGGGUUUUCCCCAUUUUUA